rnacentral:rRNA from 1 species
CACGUAGGGGGCAAGCGUUGUCCGGAUUUAUUGGGCGUAAAGAGCUCGUAGGCGGCUCACUAAGUCGGGUGUGAAAUUUCGAGGCUCAACCUCGAAACGCCACCCGAUACUGGUGUGGCUAGAGUCCGGUAGGGGAGCGUGGAAUUCCGGGUGUAGCGGUGGAAUGCGUAGAGAUCCGGAAGAACACCGGUGGCGAAGGCGGUUAGCUGGGCAGUUGCUGACACUGAGGCGCGACAGCGUGGGGAGCAAACAGG